rnacentral:rRNA from 1 species
GAUGAACGCUGGCGGCGUGCCUAAUACAUGCAAGUCGAGCGAACAGACGAGAAGCUUGCUCCUCUGACGUUAGCGGCGGACGGGUGAGUAACACGUGGAUAACCUACCUAUAAGACUGGGAUAACUUCGGGAAACCGGAGCUAAUACCGGAUAAUAUAUUGAACCGCAUGGUUCAAAAGUGAAAGACGGUUUUGCUGUCACUUAUAGAUGGAUCCGCGCCGCAUUAGCUAGUUGGUAAGGUAACGGCUUACCAAGGCGACGAUGCGUAGCCGACCUGAGAGGGUGAUCGGCCACACUGGAACUGAGACACGGUCCAGACUCCUACGGGAGGCAGCAGUAGGGAAUCUUCCGCAAUGGGCGAAAGCCUGACGGAGCAACGCCGCGUGAGUGAUGAAGGUCUUCGGAUCGUAAAACUCUGUUAUUAGGGAAGAACAAAUGUGUAAGUAACUAUGCACGUCUUGACGGUACCUAAUCAGAAAGCCACGGCUAACUACGUG